rnacentral:lncRNA from 1 species
GUGUAAAUUAGGAGAAUCUGGUACAUUCCCCCUGCUGAACCAGUCUCUGCUGAUGAAAGAUAGUACGCAAAGAUUUGCAGUGCUAUAAAUUCAAUCGCUAAGCUUAUAUUGCUUACUACACUGUAAGGGCUGGCACGGAGCUCCUUACUCUGCAGAACCCCCUCCCUGUCACCAAAUUCAUUGCUUGGACCGGCGCAGGGAAGACUGUGAAUUUAUGGAAAGAGGCAUCCCUUUAUCCGAGAGCUGAUCGCAAUGCUUGCAAUGUACGAGGAACAUCCUUGGCGGGCUCUAACUUGGUCCCUGGCUUUCUCCUUGCAGAUCCUCUCCAAUGCCUCCUCUCUAUGGGAUAUCUUGAAUAACGUCCCAGAUGGUUUCAUCGGCCAAGUUCCAAGCUCUCUCUUAGUGCUGCAGGGCAAAAUUCCAGAGCUCGGCAAAGUCAACGAGAAACCUUGGUCCCCACAGCAGGCUGCUGUCCUUUUCGGAGAUGUGCUGUCUAAUACGGAAAAUUACACCGAGCUUUCAGCGUUCAUCCUGCAAGGUUUCCAGUGCAAUGCAGCCAGCAAACUGAGGCCGGACCAGUUGUCCGAUCUGGUCCGAGAAGUGAAAGUUAAAAAUGCCAAUUUGAGCGAAGAACAGGUAAGUGGGCUCUUUUGGAUCAGUGAUGUCCAGGGUGAGUCUUGGACCUGGUUUGAUGGAUUUCUCACCACCCCUCUCAUCCGUCAAAGAAUAGAGCCUUGAUAGGAUAGUGAUGGCAUGAACCAGAUGCUCAAGAAAGGAUUUUGG